UACGUAGGGUGCAAGCGUUGUCCGGAAUUAUUGGGCGUAAAGGGCUCGUAGGCGGUCCAUCGCGUCGGGAGUGAAAAGCUGGGGCUUAACCCCAGUCCUGCUUCUGAUACGGGUGGACUAGAGGUAUGCAGGGGGAGAACGGAAUUCCUGGUGUAGCGGUGAAAUGCGCAGAUAUCAGGAGGAACACCGGUGGCGAAGGCGGUUCUCUGGGCAUUACCUGACGCUGAGGAGCGAAAGCAUGGGGAGCAAACAGG
rnacentral:rRNA from 1 species